AUCUUGGCAUCCUAAUUUGUAUAGAAUGCUCGAGCAUUCAUCGGAACCUUGGUGUUCAUAUCUCAAAGGUAAGGUCCAUAUUAUUAGAUGUCAGGGUUUGGGAGCCUACCAUCUUGGAUCUAUUCCGCACAUUGGGUAAUUCUUAUUGUAACUCGGUGUGGGAGGAGUUGCUUCAACUUCCAAGUGACGGAUUAACAAAUGUUGAUGCUAUUCAAUCUGCUUCCAAGCCAAGCCCCAAAGAUGCCUUUCAUGAAAAAGAGAAGUAUAUUUUGGCAAAGGCAGACGAGCAAGUGAAUUCUCCAUUUGCAUUGGGCUUCCAGAUUGGUUGAUCAUAAACCAUGGGCUGGUAGUGAAUUUGAGUCACAAGAAUGGUCGCAA